rnacentral:rRNA from 1 species
GAUGAACGCUGGCGGCGUGCCUAAUACAUGCAAGUCGAGCGAACGGACGAGAAGCUUGCUUUUCUGAUGUUAGCGGCGGACGGGUGAGUAACACGUGGAUAACCUACCUAUAAGACUGGGAUAACUUCGGGAAACCGGAGCUAAUACCGGAUAAUAUUUUGAACCGCAUGGUUCAAAAGUGAAAGACGGUCUUGCGGUCACUUAUAGAUGGAUCCGCGCUGCAUUAGCUAGUUGGUAAGGUAACGGCUUACCAAGGCAACGAUGCAUAGCCGACCUGAGAGGGUGAUCGGCCACACUGGAACUGAGACACGGUCCAGACUCCUACGGGAGGCAGCAGUAGGGAAUCUUCCGCAAUGGGCGAAAGCCUGACGGAGCAACGCCGCGUGAGUGAUGAAGGUCUUCAGAUCGUAAAACUCUGUUAUUAGGGAAGAACAUAUGUGUAAGUAACUGUGCACAUCUUGACGGUACCUAAUCAGAAAGCCACGGCUAACUACGUG